rnacentral:tRNA from 1 species
CGGUGUGUAGCGCAGCCCGUAGCGCACUACUUUGGGGGUAGUAGGGGUCGUGGGUUCAAAUCCCGCCACACCGC